CUGCAGAUCAAAUCUCCACUACAGGGUCUGGGCUGUUUUCCAGCCCCGCUCUCUGGAUCGGGCUCUUCCUGGAGAAGGUGCUGAUUGCUGCCUUCCUCCUCUUCCUCUUCCUGAGAAGCAAAGGGUAACCAGCCCCUGGUCCAUUUCCCGGUUUUCUCGCACUGUCGCCACCUGCCAACUUCUGUCUGCAGCCUCUGUCCCCCCAGUGCAGGAAACGAGUCCCUGGAUGGUGGAGCUGCAGUGACCCCUGCUGGCCAAUCAGAUGGAGCCCAGGCUUCGGAAAGCGAAGUUUAAGGGGUGACCGGGUUACAGUCUAUAAGUUCCUACGUGGCUCGGGGAACAAAUAUUUCAUAAUGGGCUCAUCAGUCUGGCAGAUAAAGGUCUGACACACGAUGCAAUGGCUGGAAGUUGAAGCCAGACAAAUGUUGAGAGGAAAUGAAGCCUAAUGGUGAGAGUCAGUAACCAAUGGAACAAUUAGCCAAGAGUCAUGGAUUCCCCAUCUAUGACCAUUUUUAAAUCCAGACUGGCUGUUCCUCUAAAGGAUCUGCUCUAGGGAUUAUCCAGGGGAAGUUCUCUAGCCUAUGCUAUAGGUCAGAUUAGAGGAGAACAACGGUCCCUUCUGGCCUGGGAAUUCAGGAAUCUCUGGGACGUACCCACCACUCAAUCCUGCCUGCUGACGAAAGAGGCACUGGAAGGACUCCUGCUACUCUGGACUCUGUCUGAAGCCUCCUGCCUCUGCUCAGCUCUGCAGAGGCAGGAGAUGGUUGUGUAAUAAUUUCUGUCUGACAAUAAACCACCCUGGCGAUGCUUGAACUCA